rnacentral:rRNA from 1 species
CCAGACUCCUACGGGAGGCAGCAGUCGGGAAUAUUGCGCAAUGGAGGAAACUCUGACGCAGUGACGCCGCGUAUAGGAAGAAGGUUUUCGGAUUGUAAACUAUUGUCGUUAGGGAAGAUAAAAGACAGUACCUAAGGAGGAAGCCCCGGCUAACUACGUGCCAGCAGCCGCGGUAAUACGUAGGGGGCAAGCGUUAUCCGGAUUUACUGGGUGUAAAGGGAGCGCAGGCGGCGUGGCAAGUCAGAUGUGAAAACCCGGGGCCCAACCCCGGGAGUGCAUUUGGAACUGUGCUGCUAGAGUGUCGGAGAGGCAGGCGGAAUUCCUAGUGUAGCGGUGAAAUGCGUAGAUAUUAGGAGGAACACCAGUGGCGAAGGCGGCCUGCUGGACGAUGACUGACGUUGAGGCUCGAAAGCGUGGGGAGCAAACAGGAUUAGAUACCCUUGUA